GGAUAGAAGGGUGACAUCUAUCACCACACUGAUCACCAGGAUUGAUAUGGCUGAUCUGGCUGGCUUAGCUGGUGUUCUCUACCUCCCUCACUGCUCCGUGGGCAUCCCUCCUGAAGCUGCAUGCUGGGUAGAAGAGGACGACCUUCCUCGAUAGAGGAGGACUAUUCUUUAGGUCAAGGGUAUGUAAGUAGCUGCACUCCUCUCCUAGAACAUUCAGAGAAGCCACCAAGAAUAUUAACAAAUAGAAUUCAAUGAUAGAUGAUGAUGAUGGAUAGAUA
ensembl:misc_RNA 7SK 7SK RNA